GGAGGUAUAGCUCAGGCGGAAGAGCGCUUGCGUAGUAGGCAAGAGGCCAUCGGUUCGAUCCCGAUUACCUCCACCA
rnacentral:tRNA from 1 species